UGGCUGUGACGACUCAAUUUGUUUCUCGAUUCUGAGUUUUCCAUCAAUCCGAGGACCUAAUUCUUUGUGAUGAAUUUAUUUGUGCGUGUCUGAGCCAC